CGCGUGCCUAUCAGGCUUUGUUGGCGGGGUAACGGCCCACCAAGGCGACGACGGGUAGCUGGUCUGAGAGGACGGCCGGCCACACUGGGACUGAGACACGGCCCAGACUCCUACGGGAGGCAGCAGUGGGGAAUCUUGCGCAAUGGGCGAAAGCCUGACGCAGCGACGCCGCGUGGGGGAUGAAGGCCCUCGGGUUGUAAACCCCUUUCGGCAGGGACAAAGCGAAAGUGACGGUACCUGCAGAAGAAGCUCCGGCUAACUACGUGCCAGCAGCCGCGGUAAGACGUAGGGAGCGAGCGUUGUCCGGAUUUAUUGGGCGUAAAGCGCGCGUAGGCGGCCGUGCAAGUCGGUUGUGAAAUUCCGGGGCUCAACCCCGGGACUGCGUCCGAUACUGUGCGGCUCGAGGCAGGCAGGGGAGAGUGGAAUUCCCGGUGUAGCGGUGAUAUGCGCAGAUAUCGGGAGGAACACCGGUGGCGAAGGCGGCUCUCUGGGCCUGUCCUGACGCUCAGGCGCGAAAGCUAGGGGAGCGAACAGGAUUAGAUACCCUGGUAGUCCUAGUCGUAAACGUUGGGCGCUAGGUGUGGGGAGAUAUCGACCCUUUCCGUGCCGAAGCUAACGCAUUAAGCGCCCCGCCUGGGGAGUACG
rnacentral:rRNA from 1 species